CUGGCAGAUCUCUCUGUGAACGCAGCAUAAGAAAUCCACAUAAGAAGCUCCUCCAUAAAUAUUCUUGUCUUCUACCAGGAACUGUCGGAAAAGGAUCUCUGGCUGUUCCCGCUGUUUCACUAUCAUCAGCUGAAAAGAGCUUCUGUGCUGAUGUGUGCAAAGGAUGGCACAUUGAAAAGCCCCUGUAUGAGCUCUGGGGGUGUGCUGACCCCCAGCCACAGGAACAUGCUCAGACCAUUGGCCAGAAUGAAGGCACCUCCUUCUGAGAGACGUUCCUCAGAGCAGCGGACAGCAGCUGGGACAGCGUCACUCUUCAGAUCUAGGCUGUGCUGUGGGACAAAAGUCAGAGUUGCAAACCUGGUGAUUUUAAGCGUAAGAAGAAAAAUAAAAACUUUUGUUGUGAACUAGCAUAUGAUUUCAGCAGGAAGAAAACCAGCUGUCUCAUCUGUCUGGUAUGAGCAUGGUAAUCAGCUUCCUCACUGGCACUGCCAUUUGUCCCAGAACAGCCUCCAUAUGCUGCAAUUGCUACCAUUGAAUCAAACCUGCCAUUAAUUAGACUUGGAAGAAGAUGCAAAAAGGAGAAGUAUGUCCUGAAGUUUCCCUUUCUGGCACUGCUGACAUUGCAGGGGUGGUUGUUCCUCUGCUGCAAUCGCCUAGCUUAGGCAGGGGCAUCCUCACCUGGCUUACUGCUGAUGGGCUGGCACAGUUCUUGCGGUAACACGCCAGCAUGUGAGCUGUCUGAUUGACCAGGAUCUCUCUGACUGUCUUCAGGGGUUGGCUUAGAAUAGCUUUAAAAGCUACAAAUACAGAAGAACAAAAGAGUAUGUUAAUAACAGACACGCUUUUAGAGUAUCUACAUUUUGCUAGGUUUUAAUUAGUUUUUAAUAUAGUAAAACUUACCUCUAUGAGUGCCUUUUCAAUCUUCCCUGUAUCAUUUUAGAGGAUGCUUAUUAAUCUUCACAAAGAAAGGCCUAUACACUUUCGUGCAUUACCUGUUUCUAGCUACCUUCCCCAGAAUUAUUUUUAUGGCAUGUAUAUCUGAAUACAUAAUGUACUUCUCUUUUCUACUUUGUAACAGAGUUGCAAGUUGCUGAGGCUUGGAAUAGCAAGUUACAAAACACAAUUUCCCACUAGGCAAUCACUUCAUCUCUCCUACCUUCCUCUUCUUCCACCCCUAGAGAAAGCAAGAACGAAACAAAACUGAUCUGCUAUAACUUUACCUGACUUAGCAAAGAAGUUGAUCAGCGCGUCAGUCUCGCAAGUCUUGUAGACAUCAGCUAACUGGGAGCUACAGUUUAAACCAAUAUUGUGGAUGCGCAGUCUUCUUUGUCCACUUAUUGAUGUGUAAAGGACAGCACACUGCAACAGAUGAGCCAAUUACCAUUCAUUUUAAGUUUAAAACAAAAAGUCAGUCCGCAAAGUGUCCAUUGUGUAAGAGCCACCACCUUGUACAUCAAAGGCAUGUAAUUACUCCCAAGGACAGCCCAGCCUAGUAGUGCUGCUUCAGCAUUAAUUAACUAGAAAAACACCAUACCUGUACAUUUUGUGGAAGUAGAUUAGACAUGUAAAUGCAUUAUAAAAAUUAUUAGCCUUAAAAGUAUGUGUGUCAUAAAAGUAUACAAAUACAUGACUGAUUGAAAGGCUUAUUACUCUCUCAUUUGCUACAUACUGAUGGUAUCAUCUGAAAACAAUAGACCACCGAUUGAAAAUUUGUAAAGCACGUUAUCAGCAACAGCAACACAAAAACUUAGUGAUCUUGGAAAGUGAAGGGGGUCUUCUUACAUGAAUAAAUUGCUUGUGAAGUGACAUGAAGUCCUUCUAACCCCACCCCUGUAUCUCAUCCCUUCCAUUGACUUAGAUAUUAAAAUUGGAGGGAUAAUUUAUGAAUUUGCUUAUGACGCCAAUUCUGCUUUAAUGUAACAUUAGCAUUUCGGGAAACCCUUUUCCAAGUAUGAAAAGUAAAGGAACUGAGCUCAGGCUUUCCUGACUACUAACAUUUUGCUGGCACACGCUCAUUUCCUAGCACCGCAAUCAAAAAAGAAUCUCAUCAUCAUCUACAGCUACAAACUGAAGUCUGCAAGGCAAAUACCAACUGCAGUUGACUGCAGUCAGACAUGCACUGGAUCUACUGCAUGUCUCUGUCACAGGGAAGCCAGGUAAACACAACAUCUACAUGGCACGCACUCUUCCUGUCAAUGCUGCAGCACUGCUUCAGGAAGUGAUGGCAGACAUACCAAAGUGGAUGUUCCACAGUACUGUAUUUGUGCAAGGAUUAACUGCUAGCCUAGGAAGGGUUAUUUAUAGGGGCAAGAUAAAAGCUAAGCAGAGCAGAAAUGAACACUCAGAUAAUUCCAUGGCUUAAGUAAGUUCAAAACCUUGCAAGCUGUAACAUUUUCUGCUGUUAAUAAAAGAAAAAUAUCAUGACAAAAUACCUAUAACAGUAAGUGGCAAUGUUGCAUUAUCUGCUGAUGGUUGGGGCACAUCUUUUCUUAGGCACAGGCAUAUCACAAGUGUUGGCAAGUAAGCAGAGAAAUGCCAGUUUUAAUUGUUGCCUAAUCUGCAUUUCCAGGAACUACUAUUGAGGCAUGCCCUACUGCAGAAUAAGAAGGGAAGCACGGAUCUCUUGAGUUUCGGAACAGCAAGUUAUGGCAUUGCAAGUUCGCAGUCUUUGGCUUACCUUAUUAGUGGUACUAUGACAUCAGAGUCUGUGCAAGCUGUACCUUCCUCCCCUCAGUGCCUCGGCAUAACGUCUUUUUUAUUAUUAUGGCUGCAGAAGUUCUUACUCUCAAUUUCAAGACAUGCUUCCCUGGUGCUUCCGCAGUUGGCAAUGAAGAAUGGAAGAUAAACAAUUUUCCAGCACAUUCUGCAGCCUGUUGCAAAGACACCAUAUUGACAUUUAUUCUAUUACUCAGAUAAACAAGCCUAAUUUUCAUUCAUAUGCUGUGGUAUCUCUAAGAACAGUGCAAACUUUCUGCAAAAGUUCUUCAGAGCCAAACCAUUCAUUUAGUCUUUACACUUGAUGGAAGUGAAAUCCCAAAACAAACUGGGAAUUUUGUGUCAGUAAAUAACUUAGUCUAACACAGAUCCUUUGGAUGAUGCACCGGUACAGUAAUUCCUACAUGGGACACUAAAAUCUUGGUGGGCAAAACUAGAAGUACCUAGAGACAUUUAAGUUAGAUACAAGCAUUAUGCAGCAAGCAACAAGGAUAAAAGGUUAAAAAAAUACUGCUUCUUCAGUUUGGGUGCACUGUUAUCCACUGUAUUUUUAGAGAAGAACAACAAUUACAUUCCUGGACUAGAUUCCACAUUUAAACUACACUAAAAUGUAGAGCAUCAAAACUUGUGAUUAACGUUAACUCUUGUCACUAAGAAAUAAAGUAAAAGCUGGUUUUACUCAAGUUUUCAAUUGUUACCUAGAACUCUAAUGAGGCCAUAGGAUUUGCAAACUGGGACGGCAAACUGCUGACAAAAACCCUUCAAUUCCAAAGAAGGGAAUAGCAACGGUAGCCAUACCACAAGCAUCUUUGUACUGCUAACAAGCUCUUCCACCAAAAUUUACAAAAUCCAGUUUUUCGCUUGAUACUGAGACAGUUAAUAGGAAUGAAAACUGGUUAGUCUUCAGAAUUCUAAAUCCUUAAGCACUGAAGAAGUUGGGUGAAGGUGAAAGGAAGGAAGGAGGCAUUUACCCUUUUCCUGCUCCAGGCUUAACCACACAUCUAGUUUAAAAAUGUAAUACCUGAGAGUACUGACACAAAUGGGCUUUGGUACUCUUUCCCCUCCAGAUCUUAAUAUAUCCACAAGAUACUCCACAUUUCAAAAUAAGCCAUGGCAUUCUUCUGGGAAAACUAGGAAUUUGCUAACUAUGGCAGAAAUGCAAUCAAAGACAGUAUCUUGCUUUUAACAGCUGAAUCUCACCCGUAAUAGCACGGUUACCUUUAAUCAUGAAUGCCAAUUUCAGUUACUCUUAAAAAGUAGUCUCUAAAGAAUGCAAGAUUGAGUUACCACCAUACGCAUCAAGAAUUACUAACACUACUUUUGACAAUGUGUCUAAAAUGCAUAUACGAUUUCUAAAGAUUUAUGAAUCUCAAAGAAGAAUAUAUUUUAUUCUUCUCAGAUUAGUUAUUUUCUUGAACACAUGUAUACGCAUAUUAAUGAUUCCCAGGGAGCAUCCUUGCAACUUAUAACUUUAAAAUACUAGUUAAAUAAGAAGUUUAUUUGAGAAGUGUUUUUAUAGGAACAACAUCAAAAGGAAAUUUACAUUUAUGGGUGUUAAGUUUGUUUUGUAGAAGUCAAAUACUGGGAAAGAACAUUUUGAUAGAAGUGGUAACCAAAUGUAUAAAUGUUUUGCACACAUACAUUCUACUACGAGUAAGAAGAAAACAAGUAUCAGUUACAUAUUUAAGAAAUGGGAUUUGAGAGAUGCUGUACAAUUUUGGCUCAAUAUAUCUACUCAGAGUUUGAGCUCACAGAUAAAUCAAUCUGUGUCAUUCUUUUAAUUGGCAACGCUCCACAGAAAUGCCAGCAUUUCAAGGGAUAUCCCUGACAUACAGCAAAUUACUUAGAUGCAUCUAGAAGUCUGUACAAACAUCCCGAAUUAUCUAUUAGUUAUCUUAAUUAUACUGUAGUGACUAAACACCUUAUCUCUUAAAUGCUGAAUAAGAAACCAAACUGGUCUUUUCCAACUUAAGUGAUUCUAUGACUGGUUUCGCUCAAUAAGGAGAAUCUGGAAAUAGAUGUUACACUUGUCAGUUCUUUCUAAACAAAAGGAAUUCAAAGGUGCUGUUACAAUAAUGGGACAUCAGUGCUGGAAACGAUCAGUGAUUAUUAUUUAUUUAUUUAUUUUUUCUCAUUUCCCAUUAUGAUUUGUAGAAGGAUUUGGCACUGGUCUUUAGCAAGCUACAGGUUAUCAUGCCUUGUUCUAAUUAAAGAACUACUUUGACAGAGAGGAACAUUGUAACCUUUAGUGCCUCCAUGCCAGCCUGGAUAACAGGAGCAAAGAUGGUCUCACUCUCAUUAGUGUCUGCAAACAUCUCUGGAAUCUGGUCCAACAAGCUAUGAAAGAAGAAAGGUUCAGUGUCUGAACUGGUUAGCAUAUUUGGGAUAAUCCCCAAAAAUGUGACAUACCAAGUCUUCAUAGAGGAAUUUCUUUUCCAUGCAAGUUUAUACUUAAAAAUUUUGAUUUCUUAGGAUUCCAGCCGGAAUAAAAUUAAACAUGAAUUUUAGAAUUCUAUUGAAAUGCAUUAUUUCAAAGCUGGUAACAUAAAGGAACAUGCAUUAAAUCAAAAAUAGCUAAAAAUAAAGGGGUUCAGGUAUGGAUAAAGACUUAAUAGUCUUUAGAUCAUACCUAGGCAUGCAUCAUAUAUAUAGAAGGAAAACCAGGAAAAACAUUCAACAUGGCACAAAGCCACAACUUGCCCUCCCACUUCAGACAAAGCAGAACUGAAGAUGCCUGGCUCACAGCUUGUCUAAACAGGCUUUCAAAUUCAGCACUGCAAGUUGCUGCUACCACUUUUGUUUCCCCUCAAAUGUGGAAAUGCAGGACUUGGUGCAUCUGCUGAAUUGUAAAGCAUUUCAACAAAUUCAUGCAUCCUCCAAAACCCUGUAACACACCUGACUAAAAGGGAAAAUGUCUAUUCUAAGCAUUCAGCUCUUAUUCAGAUAUGGAAUUGUUGUACUUUACUUGUUAACAACAGAUCGUGAUUCCUGAAAGUCAACAAGGAAACCAUCCAGCAAAGGAACAAAAACUUCUCCGACAUCCGAGACCACCAUCAUCUGAGGCUGAGCUAAGUUGCUUUUUACAUUAAAGAAGUGGAGGACCUUGUUAUAAGUGACAAAACCAACUCGAAUUGCUGAGGAUUCUUCUUGCUCUUCUCUGUGAGAAAUACAAAAAAAAAAGUGGUUAAAAUUCUGAAACUCUGGCCUUGCAAUAAGAGCAUUACUUUGAAAUGCGGGGCUGCUUUCAGAUCAUUAUCUGUACUGGGAGCAACAAAGCAAACAACCAACCAGAUGUAAUUGCCCCAGUCUUUGCCUCCAGUCAAAUUAAAACAACUUGAUUAAAUAAA